CCGGCGCACCAGAUGCCAAAAAGGUCUCGCUCAUAUCAUGAACUUUGUUUUCUUCCUUUCGCCUUUCUACUUCACUAGGACUUGCCAUAUACGAUGCUCCUUGUAUCGGAUUCUUCCGAGCCAUGAAAUCAUUAACUCCAAGGUUCUUGAUUCCUCCAUCACCCUUUUGUCCAUUAACUUCUAUAUUGGUCUUUGCCUUAUAUCUUCUCAUCCCUGCAGUGAUUUACGAGCCAAGAGCAUGAGCAUGACAAUGGAUUCUAUAUAUAUAUACGGCAGCUUCAAAUUGCAGAGAAAUUGUACAGAACAAAUUCACUUUCAUAUAUGCCUAUACUCAUUUAUG
rnacentral:lncRNA from 1 species